rnacentral:lncRNA from 1 species
CCUUGCAACAUUUAUCUUAAUAUCGCCCCAGAUGCUCCUAAAAGUGAGAGUCUCGGCUUUUCUCAGUGAUCGCAACAGUUACCGUAACUAUAGCACGAAUCGCGCACCUUGAAUAUAGCGACGGCUCAUUUGACCACGGAAAAGUAAACGGCGGUUCAUUUGACCGUGGUGACACACCGGAGCAAACGGCAACUGUAGCUUGUUUGAUCCUUUCGGUAAUUAAUCGUACUGCAUCUACUGUAUUUAUGACAAUGAGUAGCACAUGUGUACAGCGAGCGGCGCUACAAUAAGUAUAGUGAAUUUUACUGUCUUGUCGUCUGCGUUAGAUUAAAGAUUAUGACACAAUAAAAAAGUGCUACCACUAGCAUCAUAAUGGCUCAGAGAACUUUCCUUUUACGAUGCAAACAAAUCGUUAAUAAGUGUACUCGACUUCUACAAGGGGACAGUCCACCAGAUGACGCAUUUCAAACAGUUCUAACAAGAAUGGAAACCCUUAAACGCUGCCUGGAGUGCUCAAGAGGGAGGUUGAUGGAUGCAACAGCAGUACAAGACAUCCUAGAAAACAUUGAGAAAUAUAUUCAGGAGGUCAAGGAAAUGCAACAGGGGGCUCAACAAGUGCUUAUAGACACAAGCUGUUACGGCGAUAAAGAGGCACGUGAUGGCUGGACUGUCAUGCGAGGUGGUGUCAGCAAAAGUAAAACUCACAAGUCAUAGAGUCAAUUGACUCUCUGCAUAUUCGUUGAGCCGAGGGCUGCUUGAAGUGCUGUUUCUGUUGUAAUAGAGGUGAGGUCAGGAAAAUAACUUUUCUUAAAUAUGACAUAUAUAGAUGCUUCAGUCGAACAAGUCUGUCACAAACAAGUAAUUCCUUUUCCAAGAGAUGUGUUUUGAUCAUUUAUCAUUAUCAAACAUGUGAUCACAUGACUUUUACUGGCUAAUGAAUUAUGCCUUCUACAUUAAACAAUUACUGUCUUUUUGUCCUCUACAGAUUAACGUGCACAUGCAUCAUAGACCAGAAGCACAAGUGGCCAUUGGUUUUAAUGCUGUCAACUAGGGCUCAAGCAUGCAUUAAAGAGUCCAUUACCUAAGAUGAUGUGGUUGUUAUUGCUCCUGAUACAAAGUUUUCGGUGUGUACACUUAAUGUCACUUUUCACAAAGACAAAUUCUGUAACAUCUGUUGUCUCUGUUUGAUUAUAGCAGGUAAUGUUUAUAUUAGUGUUUAGAAAGAUAAAAGAAGGUACAGUACUGGGUUGUAUAGCACCGACGCCUGUGUGGUCACGUGUAACACUUGACUGAAGUAUUUCAAAUAGAUUUCAGUAUUCCCCAGUAAAUAAAAAAAACUCUACAAAUGUCCA